UACGGAGGGGGCUAGCGUUGUUCGGAAUUACUGGGCGUAAAGCGCGCGUAGGCGGACCUGCAAGUCGGGGGCUCAACCCUCGGAUGCCGGUGGAUACUGUCGGACUAGAGUACGGAAGAGGCGAGUGGAAUUCCUGGUGUAGCGGUGAAAUGCGCAGAUAUCAGGAGGAACACCGAUUGCGAAGGCAGCUCGCUGGGACGUUACUGACGCUGAGACGCGAAAGCGUGGGGAGCAAACAGG
rnacentral:rRNA from 1 species